rfam:Beta vulgaris subsp. vulgaris Bvchr4_un.sca029.con0011.1, whole genome shotgun sequence.
GAGUGCGGUCAUACCAGCACAAAUGCAUCGGAUCCCAUUACAACUCCGCAGCUAAGCGUGCUUGGGCAAGAGUAGUACUAGGAUGGGUGACCUCUUGGGAAGUCCUCGUGUUGCAUCCC